UCACUAACGUUCUCAAAGUGAGAAAAUUCUCAGCUCAAGAUUUUCUCAAAACUGUCUGAGAAUUGUCUCAGCUGAGAAAUUUCUCAAGUUGGCUUUCACUAAACUUUUUCUCAAGUCUUGAGAUUUUUCUCAGCUGAGCCGUAAUUCUUUAAGACAUAAGCGGCCAAACAUCCAAGGAGCCGCGUGAACUUUCCCACGAACACGAGUGCAUAGUUGGGGCAGUGAAUUUAUUCAUUUACUGUGACGAAAUGAAGCGUUGAGAAAUGUUCAUAAACAACAUGUACAGUUUCGGGAUAUAUCCAAAUUGUAUGUUUGUACAAAGGUAUGGCAGUGUAUUUUCAAUAUAUAAUUAAUCAGCUUCAAACCUGUCACUUUUGAACCAAUCAAACACACAGUCGAGGGCACUACGUCAUAUUGCAUGUGUUUUCUUUACCAAAUAUGGGAUUAGGUAAACACAGCCAUAUGUUGUUACACUACGUGUGACAAUUUUAUGUUAUCGGGCAUAUGUUUAUGGGAAUCAGAUAUGCAGCCGUCACAGCCAGCUGAUGAAGAUCCUCAGCUUAUACAGAGGUCAGACUUGAGCUAUGUGCUGAUUCAAAAGAUGCUAAUGACAGUGGAUAAUCCAUUCUGAGCUGUUCUAGGACCAUUCACCAACGUUCCAAAACACUGAUGGAACUGAAGGCAGUACCUGUUUUGGUGUCUGGCCUGUGAUUUCAAGUAUAAUUGAUGUACCUCCUCCUGAUGUAUCUCCUUGAAUACAAUAUAUCUGCCAUGAGAAAGGAACAAGCUGCAAGAUAUACUGUGGAAGUGGGGGCCUAUGUAAAAAACAUUUUAUUUAAAGAAUAUAAGAAAUCUGACACUAAACUACUGAAAAGGUGCACAGGGGACAUUUUUGUGUGUAUAGACUUUCACCAAGAUUCUGAGAAAGUUGAUUUAUUAAACAAAAUAGUCAAAUUGUGUCUUCAAAGCUGAAAAGAUUAAGAUCUUAAGAAAACAUUAGGACUCAAGAAAAGUAAUGGGGUUAUGAAACUGUAGUGUUCAACAUUUGAAUUGUUUUUUUUUUGUUUUUUUCACUACAUUUUGUGAAGAGGGUUCCAUCACAAGAUGCGACAUAUUGCCUGAUAUUGGUAAGAAUGAGAUGUAGUUUAUGAAAAAAAGUAUUUUGCUUUAAAUGUGCAGACUUUAAGUCACAUCAAAAAUCAAAGCUGUAACAAUAAAGCUUGAUUAAAAAACACACUGUUGAAACUAGCCUUCAUGUAAAUGUCACACUUUUUUGGGUGCACAGGGGACACAAUUAGCUAUAUGAUUUAAUAUAACUUUAACCCUUAGGCCCUUGCUAAAUUUCUAUAAUGAACUUGUCCGUUUAACAAUUUGGACAGUAUUAUUAAGUGUUAAAAGGGGUGCUAACCAAAAGAUACUGACUGAAUGGCGAACAGUGCAGAUAAAGAUCAGACUGCACAGAUGUGCAGGCUGAUCAUGAUCUACACUUGUCGCAAAGGUAGGACCAACCAUGUACAGCAUGAUAAGGGUUAAAACUGCUUGAACCAUUCAGCUGAAAUUGCAAACAUUUGUUGACUACAUUGAUUGGAUAUAUGUAAUUUGCCCCAAAACACUUUAUAAAACUGAACUGAAUUAAAAUUAGGUGAGAGAGAAGAAAAAGCUGAAUUAUUAAAAAAAAAACAA